rnacentral:rRNA from 1 species
UUCGCAAUGCCCGAAAGGGUGACGAAGCGACGCCGCGUGUGGGAAGAAGGCCUUCGGGUUGUAAACCACUGUCGGGAGUUAGGAAAUGUAAGGGUGCUAAUAGUAUCCUUACUUGACUAAGGCUCCGGAGGAAGCCACGGCUAACUCUGUGCCAGCAGCCGCGGUAAUACAGAGGCGGCAAGCGUUGUUCGGAAUUAUUGGGCGUAAAGAGCACGUAGGCGGCCUUGUAAGUCAGUUGUGAAAGCCUUCUGCUUAACGGAAGAACAGCAGCUGAUACUGCAAGGCUAGAGUGCGGAAGGGGAGAGUGGAACUUCUGGCGGAGCGGUGAAAUGCGUAGAUAUCAGAAGGAACACCGGCGGCGAAGGCGACUCUCUGGUCCGUAACUGACGCUGAGUGUGCGAAAGCUAGGGGAGCAAACGGGAUUAGAUACCCCGGUAGUCCUAGCCGUAAAC